GACGAACGCUGGCGGCGUGCUUAACACAUGCAAGUCGAACGGAAAGGCCCUGCUUUUGUGGGCUGCUCGAGUGGAGAACGGGUGAGUAACACGUGAGUAACCUGCACUUCACUUUGGGGUAACUUCAGGCAACUGAGGCUAUUACCGCAUAGGAGCUCCUGCUGCUUGGUGGGGGUUGGAAAGUUUCGGCGUUUGGGGAUGUACUCGCCGCUUAUCAGCUUGAUGGUGUGGUAGUGGCUUACGAAGGCUUUGACGGGUAGCCGGGCUGCGAGGGUGAGCGGCCACAUCGGGACUGAGAUGCGGCCCAGACUCCUACGGGAGGCAGCAGUGGGGAAUGUUGCACAAUGGGCGGAAGCCUGAUGCAGCAACGCCGCGUGCGGGAUGACGGCCUUCGGGUUGUAAAGCGCUUUCGCCUGUGACGAAGCGUUAGUGACGGUAAUGGGUAAAGAAGCACCGGCUAACUACGUG
rnacentral:rRNA from 1 species